GAAGUUGGCCGGGCGAUCGCUGUCCUCACACGGGGGCAGAGGAAAGUCCGGGCUCCGCAGGGCAGGGCGCCAGGUAACGCCUGGGGGGCGUGAGCCCACGGAAAGUGCCACAGAAAAUACACCGCCUAAGCCCGCAAGGGCCGGUAAGGGUGAAAUGGUGCGGUAAGAGCGCACCGCGUUCCUGGCAACAGGAACGGCAGGGAAAACCCCGCUCGGAGCAAGACCAAAUAGGGGGGCGAUACGUGUGGCCCGCACGGCCCCCGGGUAGGUCGCUACAGGCGUCUGGUGACAGGCGUCGCAGAUGAAUGAUCGUCCUCGACAGAACCCGGCUUACAGGCCAACUUCCCCU
rnacentral:RNase_P_RNA from 1 species